GUCUACGGCCACGCCACCCUGAACGAGCCCGAUCUCGUCUGAUCUCGGAAGCUAAGCAGGUUGGGCCUGGUUAGUACUUGGAUGGGAGACCACCUAGGAAGACCAGGUGCUAUAGGCG
rnacentral:rRNA from 1 species